AGCGCGACGGGGUCGACGCUCCGGGUGACGACGAGGUAGUCGCGCAUCGCGAUACCGUGUCGGUUCUC
rnacentral:sRNA from 1 species